UAGGGAAUCUUCGGCAAUGGACGGAAGUCUGACCGAGCAACGCCGCGUGAGUGAAGAAGGGUUUCGGAUCGUAAAGCUCUGUUGUUAGAGAAGAACGAUGGUAGGAGUGGAAAAUCUACCAAGUGACGGUAACUAACCAGAAAGGGACGGCUAACUACGUGCCAGCAGCCGCGGUAAUACGUAGGUCCCGAGCGUUGUCCGGAUUUAUUGGGCGUAAAGCGAGCGCAGGCGGUUCUUUAAGUCUGAAGUUAAAGGCAGUGGCUUAACCAUUGUACGCUUUGGAAACUGGAGGACUUGAGUGCAGAAGGGGAGAGUGGAAUUCCAUGUGUAGCGGUGAAAUGCGUAGAUAUAUGGAGGAACACCGGUGGCGAAAGCGGCUCUCUGGUCUGUAACUGACGCUGAGGCUCGAAAGCGUGGGGAGCAAACAGG
rnacentral:rRNA from 1 species